rnacentral:tRNA from 1 species
ACCAAGAUAGUUUAAACAAAAUAUCGGUCUUGUAAGCCGAAGCCGAGGGCUGACCCCCUCUCUAGGUG